GCAGUGGUAGUUCAGUGGUAGAAUUCUCGCCUUCCAUGCGGGAGACCUGGCUUGAUUCCCAGCCAGUGCA
rnacentral:tRNA from 1 species